CCUUCCUCUUCUCUCUCCCCACUUCCGUUCCGCGAAACAGAAAACCCAACCGGAGAAGGAGAUGGAACCAGCCACGGCCGCCGGGAAGUCCCCUGAUCCGAUGCCGUCGCCGCCCCCGGAGGGCCCAUCGCCCGUGGUGACCUCCUCAUCCUCCGCCGCUUCCCCGGUGACGCAGGCGCCGCCGCCGGCGCCUCCGGGGGCGCGGGAGGUCGCGGCGGUGAUGGAGGCGGUGGAGCGGGACGCCGCCGCCAUCGCCGAGAGCUACGCGUCCCUCUUUGCCUCCCUCCGCGUCGCCCUCUCGAACGUCACCUCGACGUCGGCGGAGAACAUGGAGUGCUUGGGCGACGUCGUCGGCCGCCUCCAGGAAUCUGCACUUGAAGCAUCUUCAAAAGGAAAUAAAUACAUCAACUCGUGCUUGAGGUUAAAUGAGGAAUUGAGAGGCUUGGAAAGCCUAGCUAUGCAACUAUACUACGGAAGAACGUUGAUUCAUUAGAUUUGGCUGUCAAUCAGUUGCUCCGCCUCCCCUAGUCCAUGAAUAUUAUCAGUAGCUCGUAUAAGGUGUAAGGAAAUUGAUACACCAAAUACAUGCCAAGUGUUUUAGUUCCAAGGCAACCAGGUGGUGGAAUAUGAAGGGGCUUAUGCCAACAAAGGAUGACUUUCCCUUCCAUGGCAUGAUAAAAUACUCCUAACUCUUGAUUUGAUUUAUGCUUCCAUCUUAUGUGUAUUUGUAAACAAUGCUAUGCAAGUAUACAUUUAUUGAGAAAUAUCUUUGUCUUCUUGUGAUAUGUACAUGGAGUUAUGUUUGUAAAUGGGUCGUUCAGUCCAUGGACAAUCUCUUUAAAUUGGGGAUAAAUGGCACCAAGGUUUUCCUGUUA